rnacentral:rRNA from 1 species
UAGGGAAUCUUCCACAAUGGACGCAAGUCUGAUGGAGCAACGCCGCGUGAGUGAAGAAGGCUUUCGGGUCGUAAAACUCUGUUAUUGAAGAAGAACGUGUGUGACAGUAACUGGUCAUGCAGUGACGGUAUUCAAUCAGAAAGUCACGGCUAACUACGUGCCAGCAGCCGCGGUAAUACGUAGGUGGCAAGCGUUGUCCGGAUUUAUUGGGCGUAAAGCGAGUGCAGGCGGUCUUUUAAGUCUGAUGUGAAAGCCUUCGGCUUAACCGAAGAAGGGCAUCGGAAACUGGGAGACUUGAGUGCAGAAGAGGAGAGUGGAACUCCAUGUGUAGCGGUGAAAUGCGUAGAUAUAUGGAAGAACACCAGUGGCGAAGGCGGCUCUCUGGUCUGUAACUGACGCUGAGGCUCGAAAGCGUGGGGUAGCAAACAGGAU